UACGGGGGGGGCAAGCGUUGUUCGGAAUUACUGGGCGUAAAGGGCUCGUAGGUGGCCAACUAAGGUCAGACGUGAAAUCCCUCGGCUUAACCGGGGAACUGCGUCUGAUACUGGAUGGCUUGAGUUUGGGAGAGGGACGCGGAAUUCCAGGUGUAGCGGUGAAAUGCGUAGAUAUCUGGAGGAACACCGGUGGCGAAGGCGGCGUCCUGGACCAACACUGACACUGAGGAGCGAAAGCCAGGGGAGCAAACGGG
rnacentral:rRNA from 1 species